GGAUCCAGACUUUGAUUCUGGCUCAGGACGAACGCUGGCGGCGUGCUUAACACAUGCAAGUCGAACGGAGCACCCUUGAUUGAGGUUUCGGCCAAAUGAUAGGAAUGCUUAGUGGCGGACUGGUGAGUAACGCGUGAGGAACCUGCCUUUCAGAGGGGGACAACAGUUGGAAACGACUGCUAAUACCGCAUGACGCAUUUUGAUCGCAUGGUCGAAAUGCCAAAGAUUUAUCGCUGAAAGAUGGCCUCGCGUCUGAUUAGCUAGUUGGCGAGGUACGGCCCACCAAGGCGACGAUCAGUAGCCGGACUGAGAGGUUGACCGGCCACAUUGGGACUGAGAUACGGCCCAGACUCCUACGGGAGGCAGCAGUGGGGAAUAUUGGGCAAUGGGCGCAAGCCUGACCCAGCAACGCCGCGUGAAGGAAGAAGGCUUUCGGGUUGUAAACUUCUUUUAAGUGGGAAGAGUAGAAGACGGUACCACUUGAAUAAGCCACGGCUAACUACGUGCCAGCAGCCGCGGUAAUACGUAGGUGGCAAGCGUUGUCCGGAUUUACUGGGUGUAAAGGGCGUGCAGCCGGGCAUGCAAGUCAGAUGUGAAAUCUCAGGGCUUAACCCUGAAACUGCAUUUGAAACUGUAUGUCUUGAGUGCCGGAGAGGUAAUCGGAAUUCCUUGUGUAGCGGUGAAAUGCGUAGAUAUAAGGAAGAACACCAGUGGCGAAGGCGGAUUACUGGACGGUAACUGACGGUGAGGCGCGAAAGCGUGGGGAGCGAACAGGAUUAGAUACCCUGGUAGUCCACGCUGUAAACGAUGGAUACUAGGUGUGCGGGGACUGACCCCCUGCGUGCCGCAGUUAACACAAUAAGUAUCCCACCUGGGGAGUACGAUCGCAAGGUUGCAACUCAAAUGAAUUGACG
rnacentral:rRNA from 1 species